UUCUUUGACUGGUCCACCUGCAAUCAAGAAGUAGACUUAAUUGUUAUGGAGGGGAAUUGAAUGAGACUCAGCACAAGCUGAAAUGUCCAGGAGGGAUGCCAGUAGCAAGAAGGUGUAAGUGAGGGGUUUGUCUCCCGAGCUGGAUCCCACCCCUCCUUCCAGACUAAAGCCAAGAUCAGAGCUGGACUUGUUCAGA